GGUGUUUUCCUAAAUCAUUGGGGGUUUUAAUCAAGGUGUGAAAGGUGUUUGUUCCCAAAUCAUUUGGGAUUUUAACCAGGGUCUGAAAGGUGUUUGUUCCCGAAUCAUUUGGGAUUUUUAUCCAGGGUGUGAAAGGUGUUUGUUCCUAAAUCACCUGAGAUGGAAAGGUGUUUGUUCCCAAAUCACUUGGGGUUUUACCCAAGGUGUGAAAGGUGUUUGUUCCUAAAUCAUUUGGGAUUUUAACCAGGGUUUGAAAGGUUUUUGUUCCUAAAUCAUUUAGGAUUUUUAACCAGGGUCUGAAAGGUGUUUGUUCCUAAAUCACUUGGUGUUUUAACCAGGGAUUGACAAGUGUUUGUUCCUAAAUCAUUUGGGAUUGAAAGGUGUUUGUUCCUAAAUCAUUUGGGAUUGAAAGGUGUUUGUUCCCAAAUCAGUUUGGG